UCAUGAAUAUGGGCUCAAGUAAGAUAA
rnacentral:sRNA from 1 species